AGCAGGGUGGAGCAGUCUGGUAGCUCGUCAGGCUGAUAACCUGAAGGUCGUAGGUUCGAAUCCUAUCCCUGCAA
rnacentral:tRNA from 1 species